rnacentral:rRNA from 1 species
UACGUAGGGUCCAAGCGUUGUCCGGAGUUACUGGGCGUAAAGCGCGCGCAGGCGGUGAUGUGUGCCCGGCGUGAAAGCCCCCGGCUCAACCGGGGAGGGUCGUCGGAGACUGCAUCACUUGAGGUUGGCAGGGGUUGGUGGAAUGCCCGGUGUAGUGGUGAAAUGCGUAGAGAUCGGGCGGAACACCCGUGGCGAAGGCGGCCAACUGGGCCACACCUGACGCUGAGGCGCGAAGGCGUGGGGAGCGAACGGG